ensembl:lncRNA
AUCUCUCUCUGGAGAUCCUUUCUUGGGGAGUUUUCUUGCAAGCCUAUAACAUCGAGGCAAGUAAAAAACCUGUGCAGUGCCCAGGGAGCAGAGAGUGGGAUGUGGCGGGGGGGUGCUGCUCCUGUGCCUCUCAUCAGUGCCAGCUGCAGUGGCUCCCUUGCAGCCCAGCUUUGCUCAUACAGUGAGUUGCGCAUCUCAACCAACAUCCCAGGCUGCAGCACUUCUCCAGACAAGACUGCACCAGCUGGGGCAUGAAUAUUGCAUUGGGUUCACUGAAGAGUGCUUAAAACAGCCAGCAACUCCACGUGUUCCUGCAGGCAGACCAGGGGGAACAAGGCCGCCUGACUUCAACCACAGGAGACAGGAGAUGAGGAACCUGCAUCUAGUGCAGCAGUUCCAACUCGGGGUGAGCCCUGGCAUUGCGUACACAGUGGGACAUGCCAGGCUGUGGAAGAGCCACAGGCUGUCUGGCACAGCCUGCAAAUCAUAGCACCCCUCUGUCAAUGAUUUAUUUAUCUAUGCUUUUCCUGAUGGAACCAUAAAAUGGCAGUGGCAUUUCUCACAGGGAUUGCUAAUUACUCAUUAUUUGCUUUAUUUGUAUUAUCUCAGAAUCUCUAACCCCUGAGGAGCUGGACUUUGUUAUGCAACACUUCCCUGAAUACAAACUGAAGUAUUAGCUCAGCUCCAAGUAGCUGCUAGUCAAUGGGGUGAAAUGCUGCCAAAUGUUUCAGCAUGUUGGAUCACGGUGAGUUUUGGUAGGAGGUGCCCUUCUAUAGCACAACCCAGUGCUUUAAUCAGCAAAUGCAUAAGUGUAAUGCAAAGAGAGUAUAAAAUAAAAGAGGGGAGAUUUAGGUUAGAUGUUAAGCAGAAAUUGCUUACUCAGAAGAAAAUUCUUUACUCAUUGGAACGGGUUGCCCAGAGAAGCUAUGGAUGCCCCAUCCUGUGGGGCCAGGUCAGAUGGGGCCUUGGGCAGCCUGAUCUGGUGUGGGGCAGCUAACUCAUGACAGGGGGUUGCAGCUGGUUGGUCUUUAAUUUUCCUUUCUAUGUUAGCCAUUCUAUAACUCAUUCAGUGAUUCUAUAAAGCUCAGCAUCCUCCAAGAGGUCCCAAAGGAAAGCUCUGUGCAGUGCUAGCUUCAGGUCUCCUUGAUGUGGGAUCAUGAAAAGCCCGGAGAACAAAACAUCGUGCUUCCUCACUUUCUUCUGGAGACAUCAGCCAGGCAGCAUGGCUCUGAAGAUCCAGAUAAGUUUGCAGCAUAAGACAUGAUUUCUGCAUAUCUUGUUGAUCAAGGGUCUCAAAGUCUUUUUCUCACAAGAUAAAUGUUUUUAAUAAAAAAUGAUCAUG